rnacentral:lncRNA from 1 species
AUAUAAUCAUAUAACUGUCACCGCUGAUGGUGACCAGACAAAUAGGAAAUAUGUGGGUACAAAUUAUAAAGCAAGCACAAACUACAUGAUUAAGCAAACGCAGCUGAAACACGUGUCAUGAUGGUGAACAUGGUAAGUGCAGGGAAUUAAAACAAAGUAAGAACUGAAAGAGUAAAAAGUCCUUAACUGAACUCAACUGAACAUAUUGGUAACAAUAACAUAAUUUAUAUAACCCAGAACUUGUAACAAGUUGACAUUUAACAUGUAUUCGUACAUUGUCUGCCAGAUACGAAUCGUUUGAUUUAACCGGUUCUUCUCAGUGAACCGGUUGAACCAGUUCACCAAAGCGAACUGAAUCAUUUGAAAUGGUUCGCGUCUCUAAUACGCAUUAAUACACAAAUUACUUGAGCUGUUAACUUUUUUUAAUGUGGCUGACACUCCCUCUGAGUUAAAACAAACCAAUAUCCCGGAGUAAUUCAUUUACUCAAACAGUACACUGACUGAACUGCUGUGAAGAGAGAACUGAAGAUGAACACUGAGUCGAGCAACAUAACGAACGGACACGCCACUGCUGGAGCCGUUUGAGACCCGAGGAGCUGACGAUACUGCGCAUGCGUGGACAUUUUCAAGGACUUGACGCCAUUACGUCAUCGCCAAUGGUUAUUGAAUCGAACUGUCCCAAAGAACGGGUUCGCGGAAAAGAACCGGACUUCCCAUCACUACUGCCAGAGGAUAAGGUUUUUCUUUCACUACCUUAACAUUUUUGUUGUUGCUGUUGUUGUUUUGCCACAGGGGUGCUUUGAGACAUUAAGGCAGAAUAUUCUGUAAAGAUAUUUUGAAACAACAUGGAUUGAAGCACUACAUUUUUUUUUUAUAUGUAUUUAAAAAUUCUAAUUAAAUAAAUAAUUACAUUCAAAUGUCAAAUGCGAUUCCCCCUUGUUGUUGUUGUUGUUGUUUUUUUCAGUGGUAUUUAAGUCACCACUUUGGCUCUGUCAGCACAACAGAUGGUGAACCAAAGCACAGUUGAUGUUACAGCAGCUUUCAGACCGUUAGACACUUCUCCUUGUGUCUGCAUGGCAUAGCAGGAAACCAAAAGCAGAAGGGGGGAUGAAAGAUUCGUUUCCUUUCAGAAAGGCCCUAAAAUCAAACUUGUUUCCAAAAACCAAGAAGUGACUCAAGACCUAUUUCAAGUAAAAGCAUCACAUUUGAUCCUUGCAUCUCGUUGAGGUAGGUGUUACAUUUUCAUAUUACAAUGACACUUUACUCAAGUGACUUGCAAAACAGUUUUGAUUAUUAAUGUGUUUUAAGAUUAAUACAUUCAUUAAUUGACCUCUACUCUCCACUUUAAUCUCCACUUUUCUAGAUUGUAUUUUAAAUGGAAAUAUAUCUUGAAUGGAAUUACUUGUUGAAUGUUAUUUACUGGUUACUUGUUAUAUAUUUCAAUUAAUUUUCCAAUAUUGUAAACAUUAAAUAAAUAGUAGUAUUAAGAUUACAUUUUAAUGGAAGUAAAAAGUCUUUAAGAAAGUAAUAUUCUUCUAAAAUCACUUCAAAUGGCUUAAUAA